rnacentral:rRNA from 1 species
ACUCAAAGGAAUUGACGGGGGCCCGCACAAGCGGUGGAGCAUGUGGUUUAAUUCGACGCAACGCGCAGAACCUUACCCAGACUUGACAUCGAUAGAAUCCUGUAGAAAUACGGGAGUGCCCUUCGGGGCCUAGAAGACAGGUGCUGCAUGGCUGUCGUCAGCUCGUGUCGUGAGAUGUUGGGUUAAGUCCCGCAACGAGCGCAACCCCCGCCAUUAGUUGCCAUCAGGUAAAGCUGGGCACUCUAGUGGGACUGCCGGUGUCAAACCGGAGGAAGGUGGGGAUGACGUCAAGUCCUCAUGGCCUUUAUGUCUGGGGCUACACACGUGCUACAAUGGCUACUACAGAACGCUGCGAACUCGCGAGAGAGAGCAAAUCGUCAAAAAGUAGUCUCAGUUCGGAUUGGAGUCUGCAACUCGACUCCAUGAAGUCGGAAUCGCUAGUAAUCGUGGAUCAGCAUGCCACGGUGAAUACGUUCCCGGGCCUUGUACACACCGCCCGU